AAUGAACGCUGGCGGCAGGCCUAAACAUGCAAGUCGAACGCUGUAGCAAUACAGAGUGGCGCACGGGUGAGUAACAUGUGGGAAUAUGCCUAUUGGUACGGAACAACGUUUGGAAACGAACGCUAAUACCGUAUGGUCCCUUCGGGGUAAAGAUUUAUCGCCAAUAGAUUAGCCCGCACUAGAUUAGCUAGUUGGUGAGGUAAGAGCUCACCAAGCCGACGAUCGGUAGCUGGUCUGAGAGGAUGAUCAGCCACACUGGGACUGAGAUACGGCCCAGACUCCUACGGGAGGCAGCAGUGGGGAAUAUUGGACAAUGGGGCGAACCCUGAUCCAGCAAUGCCGCGUGAGUGAUGAAGGCCUUAGGGUUGUAAAGCUCUUUUGCCAGGGAAGAUGAUGACUGUACCUGGAGAAUAAGCCCCGGCUAACUUCGUGCCAGCAGCCGCGGUAAU
rnacentral:rRNA from 1 species